AUUGAACGCUGGCGGCGUGCCUAACACAUGCAAGUCGAGCGGUAACAGGUGUAGCAAUACAUGCUGACGAGCGGCGGACGGGUGAGUAACGCUUGGGAAUCUGCCUGUUAGUGGGGGACAACCCGGGGAAACUCGGGCUAAUACCGCAUACGCACUACGGUGGAAAGCCGGGGACCGCAAGGCCUGGCGCUAACAGAUGAGCCCAAGUCGGAUUAGCUAGUUGGUAGGGUAACGGCCACCAAGGCGACGAUCCGUAACUGGUCUGAGAGGACGACCAGUCACACCGGAACUGAGACACGGUCCGGACUCCUACGGGAGGCAGCAGUGGGGAAUAUUGGACAAUGGCGAAAGCCUGAUCCAGCGACGCCGCGUGGGUGAAGAAGGCCUGCGGGUUGUAAAGCCCUUUCGGUGGGGAAGAAAAGCCUCGAGUUAACACCUCGGGUCUUGACGUAACCCAUAGAAGAAGCACCGGCUAACUCUGUGCCAGCAGCCGCCGUAAC
rnacentral:rRNA from 1 species